CCUGCAGGCUAUCCUAUCGCCCCGUCGCAAGCCGGGGAGGAAAGUCCGGGCAACAUAGAGCAUCGUACUUCCUAACCGGAAGGACCCCGGUUUAAAAGCCGGGGGCCAGAAAGUGCCACAGAAAGUAUACUACCCCCCAGGACUUGUCCCGGGAGGAAAAGGUGAAAAGGUGGAGUAAGAGCCCACCGCUCCGACAGUGAUGCCGGGGGCAUGGCAAACCUUACGAGUUGAAAGGCCAAACAGUGUCGCCCUGAAAGGGAUUGGUGGCUCGCCAGUGAAGCCUCGGCUUCAGCGCCACGGGUAGGCUGAUUGAGCCCGUCAGUGAUGACGACGCCAGAUAAAUGAUAGGAGCCCCGACGUGUCGGGGAGACAGAACCCGGCUUACAGGCUUGCUUUUUUU
rnacentral:RNase_P_RNA from 1 species